rnacentral:rRNA from 1 species
CAGCCGCCGCGGUAAUACGUAGGGGGCGAGCGUUACCCGGAUUCACUGGGCGUAAAGGGGGUGUAGGCGGCUCGGUAAGUCGGGUGUGAAAUCCCACGGCUCAACCGUGGAAUUGCGCCCGAAACUGCCGAGCUUGGGGCCGGUAGAGGGAGACGGAACUGCCGGUGUAGGGGUGAAAUCCGUAGAUAUCGGCAGGAACGCCGGUGGGGAAGCCGGUCUCCUGGGCCGCGCCCGACGCUGAGGCCCGAAAGCUAGGGGAACAAACCGGAUUAGAUACCCGGGUAGUCCUAGCCGUAAACGAUGCCCACUAGGUGUGGGGGAGUAGUUCCUCCGUGCUGUAGCUAACGCGUUAAGUGGGCCGCCUGGGGAGUACGCCCGCAAGGGUGAAACUUAAAGGAAUUGGCGGG